GGGCCUGAACUACAGCGGUGUGAAAGAGCUCAUCUUGGCAUCUGUGCACAGCCUACACACCUGGUCUCUAACAAUGAACCAAGUGCUUCUCUCUGUUCAUGUUGCCACAGCGACCAGCCAGGACAGCAGAUUGCUUGGAGAGGGGUGGGCAGAGCCCUCAGCAAGUUUCACCUUCCACUCGCUCACCAUUCAGACACCGACUGCCUUUUCUAUGAAGAACUGUGGGCCUCGGGUGGCCAUACGGUCAGCUUUUCUACGUAAAAUCCAGGCCAGGAAGCGAUGAGAGACGUGGAGCUGAAUUGCACCCCUUCCAGGGGUAUGGCUCAACUCUGGAGACGAUGCAUCAAUAUAAUUGCCCGACAUUUCCUUUCCUUUCUUCAAAGGGGGACCCAUUGGCUAAAAACAUAAUUACCCUAUUUGCAGCCUUUAAAACUGUAUGGGUGCAAUACUCAGUCUAAUGGGUGCUGGCAAGUGCUAUUUUCCUACAUGUGUAGAAUUGGUGAGUAUUUGGGGGUAUUGAAGAAAAACAAAAGACACACAUUGUCCUGAAGAUAUUGUAAACCAUGGUGAGUUAACCCAGACAAUGGAAUUAGGAUCACAUGGGAAGUUUGGGUCUUUUUUGAAGUUAAAGUGCAUUUUCAAGUGGGAAUCAGUAGAGAUUUCAUAAACUGAUGCCUUCUUGCUUUUCCAUAUCCUCUCCCAUUUUUCAGCGGUGAAGAUGAAAUUUUAUUUGACAUAUUUAUGGGAUUAAUGACUAAGAAUCUCUUACUAUAGUAUUCUCUUCUCCAAAAUUACCCUGGGAAUGGCCAAAGUCCACGAUCACAAAAUCAUAAACCCAUAUGUCGGUGUGUCUUUAGAGCAAUACUUUCUAUGAAUAAUUAAAAGCCCUGAAAGAUGAAGCCCCUUAUAUUGAUUUCUACCUUU
rnacentral:lncRNA from 1 species